rnacentral:rRNA from 1 species
AAGGGCACCACAAGAACGCGUGGAGCAUGUGGCUUAAUUUGACCCAACGCGGGGAAACUUACCGGGUCCGGACACACUGAGGAUUGACAGGCGCCUGUAGCGUUACUUUUAUUACUUCGGUAGUAGAAGUUAAUGUUACUAUAAAUAUGCUAGUCCUUUCAUGAUUGUGUGAUAGGUGGUGCAUGGCCGUUCUUAGUUCGUGGAGUGAUCUGUCUGCUUAAUUGCGUUUCAGAAAAUAGGUUCUUUGAGGUUAUUGUUGUUUGAACAUUUGUGAUUACGUUUUCAACUUCGGUUGAUUAACGUUUCACAUUGUUUAUCAACAUCCCUUGAACCUUGAAGGCAACGAACGUGACCG